rnacentral:misc_RNA from 1 species
CCGAGUUCGGGUCUUCUGGGCCCCCUCUCCAACCCUUGCCAAUCUUACCAUGUUGCUUUGGCGGGCCCGUCUUCAGCCCGGACCGCCGGGAACUUGCGUUCCUGGUCAGCGCCCGCCAACAGCCCCCAACAAAUCCCUUUCACCGUGAUAUCUGAGUCCCCAAAAAACAAAUGACCAA